rnacentral:lncRNA from 1 species
UUCUGUAUUCAGGGUAAUUAUGAAUGUUGUGAAUGUUUGCCACUCUAAGGGUGUUAUGCACAGGGAUCUCAAACCUGAGAAUUUCUUGUUCACUACCGGGGAUGAGAAUGCUGUUUUGAAGGCCGCUGAUUUUGGGUUAUCAGUGUUCAUUGAAGAAAGUAAAUUUCUCUACCUUCCUUGCACAUUUUCCAUGUUUAGAUUUUACUGCAUGUAGUAGUCUUUCAUGCCUGUAGAAUUUUCCGAUACAUAUCAUUUGAGUAAGCUGUAACUCACUUAAUGUAUUGAUUUAGGUGAAAUCAUAAGAAAAUAAUACAAAACUCUUAGGAUCACCAGGAAGGCAUAUUUGAUUAAUCGAGCUAUUAAUGUAUCCUUUUUUUAUUACCGUAUGAUUCAUUUUCCAGGAAAGGCUUACGACGAAAUAGUUGGGAGUCCUUACUAUAUGGCUCCCGAAGUAUUAAAGCGAAGUUAUGGGAAGGAAGCAGACAUUUGGAGCGCAGGAGUGAUAUUGUAUAUUUUAUUGUGUGGUGUGCCUCCCUUUUGGGCAGGUGAAAAUCAAUAUUCUUUUUGCACCCUACACGAUCUCUUUUCACUUCAACAACGUUUUUGUAUUUCUUACCGUCAACUAAGAGUACAGAGUGUGACUAUGACCACUCUGAAUUUUUUGUGUGCUCUGCAGAAACGGAGCAGGGAGUUGCUCUGGCUAUAUUAAAAGGAGAAAUUGACUUCCAACGUGAUCCAUUUCCAAGUAUAUCAAGCAGUGCCAUAGAGUUGGUUCGCAGGAUGCUAACACUGGAUCCAAAAAGGCGGAUUACUGCUGCUCAAGUUCUAGGUAUAAAGCAUUGGAUCCUCAUGUUAUUAAUUUUUCUCAUUCAUUCUAUCUAUGCUGCUUUGAUUACUGCAAGUUAAAAUUUAUUGGUCUAUUUAAUAAUACAAAUGGUAUAGCUACCACUGAAAAAUGUAUAUGAUAUGCAGAGCACCCUUGGCUUAAAGAAAGUGGAGAAGCAUCAGAUAAGCCAAUUGAUACUGCUGUUAUUUUCAGGAUGAAGCAGUUUACGGCAAUGAAUAAACUAAAGAAACUUGCACUAAAGGUAAGUCUAACUGUCUAAGGCCCAUGAGUCCCUCCUAAAUGAGCUUAAACUUGAGAAAUACUUGGAUAGGAUUGAUAGAUAUAAAGGAAAGUGACAAAGCUUGUAUCUUAAGCACACGUGACAAAUAAUAUACAUGUGUCAAAAGAUUCUCCAAAUUAUAACAUGUAUGUGAAUCUAUACCUGAUGACAUUGUAUGCAUGUUCAUGACGACAUUUUAAUUCUAAAUAUUAUAACAGAAAUUUAUAUGACUGACUAUCAUGAGUUACAUGUUUGAUUGAAAUUUUGCAUCUACGCUUCCUCGUCAACAACAUUAUAUUGUAUUGUUGUAUUUUGAAAACUUGUGCAAGCCAAUAAAAAUUUAUGUAUUCUAUUGUGUUCGCCCUACUGAUAAACCAUGUGUUCUUUAGGUCAUUGUGGAAAAUCUUCCUACUGAAGAAAUACAAAAACUAAAAGAAAAAUUUACAGAGAUGGACACUGACAACAGUGGCACUCUUACUUACGAUGAAUUGAAGGAAGGAUUAGCUAAACUUGGAUCGACACUUACAGAAUUUGAUGUCAAGCAGUACAUGCAGGCUGUAAGUAAUUCAUGAACGCUGAGUUUAUCACACUGUCUGUCUAUUUGCAUUAUACCCAGCUGAUAUUGUUGGCUCUGCAUUUCUGCAGGCUGAUAUAGAUGGAAAUGGGACCAUUGACUACAUUGAGUUUAUAACAGCUACGAUGCAAAGGCACAAGCUACAAAGAUUUGAAAAUCUUUAUAAAGCCUUUCAGUACUUUGACAAGGAUAAUAAUGGGUAAGCUUCUCAUUUUAUUUUUAUUAUUAUAGAAGCAUGUUGAGCAUUAUUUGCAUCCUCAGUUUUUUCAUGAUCUGAAUGGGGAAUAUUGAAAACCUACUCCCUCCAUUAACUGGCUAAAAUUUAAUGGGUUAUAUCUGGAGUCAAUUGACUAAUUAAUGAAGUUUUUAUUCUAAAUGGCUAUGUAGAUAUAUCACGGUAGAUGAACUCGGAAAAGCUUUCAAAGAUUAUGGCAUGGGUGAUGAUGCCACAAUUGCUACAAUUAAAGAAAUAAUGUCUGAAGUUGACAGAGACAAAGUAAGUUGAUUUUCAGUUUCAAGGGCAUUAGUAAUUUGUCUUCAUUAUUGUAAGUCAAUUCCCACGCCUUUAAUUUGUGUAUACAGGAUGGUAGAAUCAGCUAUGAUGAAUUUCGUUCAAUGAUGAAAUGCGGAACCCAACUGCGAGCAUUGUCUUCUAGAUCUCUGGCUCAUGUUGUAACCGUAAGACGCAAGGUAUUCUGGUAGGUAAACUGUGUUGUUAUUCAUCGUUUUCUGUAUAUCUUUGUAAAUUUUGUUAUUGCAGUUUUGUGAGAGUGUAUUAGAACAAUAAUAGUCAUAUACGGAAUUGCACAAAAUUACCUUCUUCCCAUUUUCUUCUUACAGUCAAAUAAAUAAAUAUUAGGAAGUGAACAAAUUUUGUGAUGCAUACAUAGGCUCUGAAUAUUGUAGGAUCAAAAGAUUUAUGCAGUAUUUCUAUUAAGAUUUGUUUCUAUGAAAUAAAAUACAGUUGAAACAAAUACAUGGAUGAGUACACAUACAGUUGAAACAAAUACAUGGAUGAGUACACAUACAGUUGAAACAAAUACUUGGAUGAGUACACGCUUUAUUCUAUGAAUCUCCUUUGAUUCAAAAAAGGAAAAUGCAGAGAGGCGAGAGAGAAGACAUUGGCAAAAAUCACCAUCAUCACAGCAGCAAACGGGCACUUAAUAAAUUAGAAAGUCUUUCUUCUCGUCACAAUAAUUAACCUUUCUUGAUUUGCCCAAUUUUGUUAAAAUGUUAAGCCUAGAGAGAGCUUCGCCACUUAGCCAUUGCAACUUGGGGGUUUAAUUGCACUCGAAUCGCUAUUUCAGCCUCUGAGGAAGACGAAUUAGAGGACAAUGCCUGUGGGUCAGUGUGUUAACAUAAGCAAAAUUGUAAACGGCAGUGAUCCUUCAACAGCUUUGAAAACUCGCUCUUUUUAUCAAUCAAUUUCUUCAAGCUGAGACCUUGUUCAGAGAUGGAGAGGGGAACAACAAAGAGAGAAAAGGACUUGAAAAAUAAAAUAAAAAAUUGUUUGCAUUAAAUUAUUUGCAAAUCUAAGGUUAUUUUUUUAUUACUAGUGGAUAAUAUUAGGGGCAAAUAUAAUACAUUCAUCGGUCAACUAUGGUUUGACCAUAAAGAAAAAAACAAAAAACUAAUGACAUGAGGGUGGGGGGAUGACUUUUCCAAUAAUUGAACCAUAAUAAACCCCAAAAAAAACGCAUUUUUUACGAAUUAUUUUAUAUAUUAAAUGCAAUUAUCUUCAUAUUAUUAAUCUGUUAGAAGAUUUUUAUUGGGAAUAUUAAUUUUUGUACUAUUUAUAAAAUUUUUUAAACAAUAAUGAAUUAUGUGGGCUAUGUGUAUAUUUGAAAGAUAUAAUUUAAUUUAUUGAUUUUUUAAAUUUAUGGGGAGAAUAAAAAUAUGAAUGGAAUCUUUGUUAUUCAUUGUUUGAGUCAUGGGGAAGGUUCAUUAUCGGGUUACACCACCAUCAUUUAUUCAAACUUCUAUCCUAUCCCACGCGUUUCUUUUUCGCUGACCAUUUCGAACAAAAGCCAAAAAAUUUCAGAAUUUCUUACCAAAAAAAAUAAAGGGCCAAUAAAUUUUAACCAUAAUGACGCAUAGUUUGAUAGAAAAAAUACAUACGCGUACCAAUAUAUAGUUGAUAUCUCCGAAUUGGGCAAGCUGGAAUUGCUCUUUGUAUUUUAUUUUACUUUUCCUUAAAAUCUCACUUGAUUCCCUAUAAUUUAUCUUUGAUCUCAAGUGGAUUUGUUCCAGUUGACUUCUGUAAAGAUCCAGACAUCCAGAGUUAAGCUUGAGCUGAGCCUCUUAUGCAGAAAUGGGUGGCUGUUUAAGCAAAAUCCCGGGCUCCUCAAAGCCAGCAGCAGCCCGACAGCAGCAACCACCUAAACUAGAUGAUGCAAUUCUUGGUAAACCGUACGAGGAUGUCAGGUUGCAUUACACCAUUGGGAAAGAACUGGGUAAGGGAGCAUUUGCUGUUACAUAUCUUUGUACUGAGAAUUCAACCGGUUUGCAAUUUGCUUGCAAGUCUAUCUCUAAGAAAAAAAUUGUAGCUGCGUAUGAAAAGGAUGAUGUAAGAAGAGAGAUUGAGAUAAUGCGACAUUUGAGUGGGCAGCCUAAUAUAGUUCAAUUUAAGGGUGCUUAUGAGGACAGGCAUUCUGUGCAUAUUGUCAUGGAGUUAUGUGCUGGUGGUGAGCUAUUUGACCGAAUUAUAGCCAAGGGCCAUUAUAGUGAGAGAGAUGCGGCUUCUGUAUUCAGGGUAAUUAUGAAUGUUGUGAAUGUUUGCCACUCUAAGGGUGUUAUGCACAGGGAUCUCAAACCUGAGAAUUUCUUGUUCACUACCAGGGAUGAGAAUGCUGUUUUGAAGGCCACUGAUUUUGGGUUAUCAGUGUUCUUUGAAGAGGGUAAAUUUCUUCACCAUAUAUAUGUUUGUAUUUGAAAUCCAUUAUAGUCACCAUAUAUAUGUUUGUAUUUGAAAUCUUAUAUUUACAUACGUUCAUGUGAACCUAAGUUUCGAUGUUCAAUUAUGUCUGAUAAAUGAAUGGCAUUUCCAUUUAAUUUCAAUAGUGAAUUAGACAUGCAGUAUGCCGUGAGGCUUCAUGUAUUACUUUAGAUGAAAUCAUCAGAAAAUAAUGUGAAACUCUUAGGAUCACCAUGAAAGGCUUGUUUAAUCUAGCUAUCAACUUAUCCUUGUCUGAUGAUACCAUG